UAAGACAGAGGGGGCAAGCGUUGCUCGGAAUUACUGGGCGUAAAGGGCGCGUAGGCGGGAUGGCAAGUCGGUCGUGAAAUCCCUCGGCUCAACUGAGGAUCGUCGAUCGAUACUGCCGUUCUUGAGGAUUGCAGAGGAGACUGGAAUUCCCGGUGUAGCGGUGAAAUGUGUAGAGAUCGGGAGGAACACCGGUGGCGAAGGCGGGUCUCUGGGCAAUUCCUGACGCUGAGGCGCGAAAGCGUGGGGAGCAAACGGGAUUAGAUACCCCGGUAGUCCUGGCCCUAAACGAUGAAUGCUUGGUGUGGCGGGUAUCGAUCCCUGCCGUGCCGAAGCUAACGCAUUAAGCAUUCCGCCUGGGGAGUACGGUCGCAAGGCUG
rnacentral:rRNA from 1 species